rnacentral:ribozyme from 1 species
CCACGAACUACAUUACAUAUCUACAGUCGAAGGCAUUCGCCACCGACCUAGUGCAGAUAUGCCACGCCGUGAGUGAGCUGUUCGAGAAACAGUCUCGCUGUCUGUUCCUGCAGUCUCCCGUGUAUGUGUUCGGUGAUAUCCACGGUAAUCUCGAGGAUCUUCACUUUUUUGCA